rnacentral:rRNA from 1 species
GUUGGGUAGGGGAGCGUUCUGUAAGCCUGUGAAGGUGUGUCGUGAGGCAUGCUGGAGGUAUCAGAAGUGCGAAUGCUGACAUAAGUAACGAUAAAGCGGGUGAAAAGCCCGCUCGCCGGAAGACCAAGGGUUCCUGUCCAACGUUAAUCGGGGCAGGGUGAGUCGACCCCUAAGGCGAGGCCGAAAGGCGUAGUCGAUGGGAAACGGGUUAAUAUUCCCGUACUUGGUGUUACUGCGAAGGGGGGACGGAGAAGGCUAUGUUGGCCGGGCGACGGUUGUCCCGGUUUAAGCGUGUAGGUGUGUGUUCCAGGUAAAUCCGGUUCACUUUAACACUGAGGCGUGACGACGAGGCACUACGGUGCUGAAGCAACAAAUGCCCUGCUUCCAGGAAAAGCCUCUAAGCAUCAGGUAACAUCAAAUCGUACCCCAAACCGACACAGGUGGUCAGGUAGAGAAUACCAAGGCGCUUGAGAGAACUCGGGUGAAGGAACUAGGCAAAAUGGUGCCGUAACUUCGGGAGAAGGCACGCUGACACGUAGGUGAAGUGAUUUACUCAUGGAGCUGAAGUCAGUCGAAGAUACCAGCUGGCUGCAACUGUUUAUUAAAAACACAGCACUGUGCAAACACGAAAGUGGACGUAUACGGUGUGACGCCUGCCCGGUGCCGGAAGGUUAAUUGAUGGGGUCAGCGCAAGCGAAGCUCCUGAUCGAAGCCCCGGUAAACGGCGGCCGUAACUAUAACGGUCCUAAGGUAGCGAAAUUCCUUGUCGGGUAAGUUCCGACCUGCACGAAUGGCGUAAUGAUGGCCAGGCUGUCUCCACCCGAGACUCAGUGAAAUUGAACUCGCUGUGAAGAUGCAGUGUACCCGCGGCAAGACGGAAAGACCCCGUGAACCUUUACUAUAGCUUGACACUGAACAUUGAGCCUUGAUGUGUAGGAUAGGUGGGAGGCUUUGAAGCGUGGACGCCAGUCUGCGUGGAGCCGACCUUGAAAUACCACCCUUUAAUGUUUGAUGUUCUAACGUGGACCCGUAAUCCGGGUUGCGGACAGUGUCUGGUGGGUAGUUUGACUGGGGCGGUCUCCUCCUAAAGAGUAACGGAGGAGCACGAAGGUUGGCUAAUCCUGGUCGGACAUCAGGAGGUUAGUGCAAUGGCAUAAGCCAGCUUGACUGCGAGCGUGACGGCGCGAGCAGGUGCGAAAGCAGGUCAUAGUGAUCCGGUGGUUCUGAAUGGAAGGGCCAUCGCUCAACGGAUAAAAGGUACUCCGGGGAUAACAGGCUGAUACCGCCCAAGAGUUCAUAUCGACGGCGGUGUUUGGCACCUCGAUGUCGGCUCAUCACAUCCUGGGGCUGAAGUAGGUCCCAAGGGUAUGGCUGUUCGCCAUUUAAAGUGGUACGCGAGCUGGGUUUAGAACGUCGUGAGACAGUUCGGUCCCUAUCUGCCGUGGGCGCUGGAGAACUGAGGGGGGCUGCUCCUAGUACGAGAGGACCGGAGUGGACGCAUCACUGGUGUUCGGGUUGUCAUGCCAAUGGCACUGCCCGGUAGCUAAAUGCGGAAGAGAUAAGUGCUGAAAGCAUCUAAGCACGAAACUUGCCCCGGGAUGAGUUCU